GUGUUGGCUUCUGCAGCACAUGUACUAAAAUUGGAACCAUACAGAGAUUAGCAUGUCCCUUGAGCAAGGAUGACAAGCAAAUUUGUGAAGCUUUCCAUAUUUUU